rnacentral:sRNA from 2 species
ACGUACCUGAAGUACGUUCCGGUUUCUGUGCGCCGUCCGCCUCGCCUGAUGACCGCUCGCUACGCCGCCCGUCUUCC